GAUGAACGCUGGCGGCGUGCUUAACACAUGCAAGUCGAACGGCAAGGCCCAAGCUUGCUUGGGUACUCGAUUGGCGAACGGGUGAGUAACACGUGGGUGAUCUGCUCUGCACUUCGGGAUAAGCCUGGGAAACUGGGUCUAAUACCGUAUAGGAUCACUCCUUGGAUGUUGUGGUGGAAAGUUUGUUCGGUGUGGGAUGAGCUGGCGGCCUAUCAGCAUGUUGUUGUGGUCAUGGCCUACCAAGGCGACGACGGGUAGCCGGCCUGUGAGAGUGUACGGCGACACUGAGUCCGAGGUGCGGCCGAGACUGGUAAGGGAGGCAGCAGUGGGGAAUAUUGCACCAGGGGCGCCGGGCUGAUGCAGAGAGGCCGCGUGGGGGAUGACGGCCUUCGUGUUGUAGACAACUUUCACGAGAGAAGAAGCCUUUUGUGACGGUACCCGGAGAAGAAGCACCGGCUAACUACGUG
rnacentral:rRNA from 1 species